GGUUAAGCGACUAAGCGUACACGGUGGAUGCCCUGGCAGUCAGAGGCGAUGAAGGACGUGCUAAUCUGCGAUAAGCGUCGGUAAGGUGAUAUGAACCGUUAUAACCGGCGAUUUCCGAAUGGGGAAACCCAGUGUGUUUCGACACACUAUCAUUAACUGAAUCCAUAGGUUAAUGAGGCGAACCGGGGAACUGAAACAUCUAAGUACCCCGAGGAAAAGAAAUCAACCGAGAUUCCCCCAGUAGCGGCGAGCGAACGGGGAGCAGCCCAGAGCCUGAAUCAGUGUGUGUGUUAGUGGAAGCGUCUGGAAAGGCGCGCGAUACAGGGUGACAGCCCCGUACACAAAAAUGCACAUGCUGUGAGCUCGAUGAGUAGGGCGGGACACGUGGUAUCCUGUCUGAAUAUGGGGACCAUCCUCCAAGGCUAAAUACUCCUGACUGACCGAUAGUGAACCAGUACCGUGAGGGAAAGGCGAAAAGAACCCCGGCGAGGGGAGUGAAAAAGAACCUGAAACCGUGUACGUACAAGCAGUGGGAGCACGCUUAGGCGUGUGACUGCGUACCUUUUGUAUAAUGGGUCAGCGACUUAUAUUCUGUAGCAAGGUUAACCGAAUAGGGGAGCCGAAGGGAAACCGAGUCUUAACUGGGCGUUAAGUUGCAGGGUAUAGACCCGAAACCCGGUGAUCUAGCCAUGGGCAGGUUGAAGGUUGGGUAACACUAACUGGAGGACCGAACCGACUAAUGUUGAAAAAUUAGCGGAUGACUUGUGGCUGGGGGUGAAAGGCCAAUCAAACCGGGAGAUAGCUGGUUCUCCCCGAAAGCUAUUUAGGUAGCGCCUCGUGAAUUCAUCUCCGGGGGUAGAGCACUGUUUCGGCAAGGGGUCAUCCCGACUUACCAACCCGAUGCAAACUGCGAAUACCGGAGAAUGUUAUCACGGGAGACACACGGCGGGUGCUAACGUCCGUCGUGAAGAGGGAAACAACCCAGACCGCCAGCUAAGGUCCCAAAGUCAUGGUUAAGUGGGAAACGAUGUGGGAAGGCCCAGACAGCCAGGAUGUUGGCUUAGAAGCAGCCAUCAUUUAAAGAAAGCGUAAUAGCUCACUGGUCGAGUCGGCCUGCGCGGAAGAUGUAACGGGGCUAAACCAUGCACCGAAGCUGCGGCAGCGACGCUUAUGCGUUGUUGGGUAGGGGAGCGUUCUGUAAGCCUGCGAAGGUGUGCUGUGAGGCAUGCUGGAGGUAUCAGAAGUGCGAAUGCUGACAUAAGUAACGAUAAAGCGGGUGAAAAGCCCGCUCGCCGGAAGACCAAGGGUUCCUGUCCAACGUUAAUCGGGGCAGGGUGAGUCGACCCCUAAGGCGAGGCCGAAAGGCGUAGUCGAUGGGAAACAGGUUAAUAUUCCUGUACUUGGUGUUACUGCGAAGGGGGACGGAGAAGGCUAUGUUGGCCGGGCGACGGUUGUCCCGGUUUAAGCGUGUAGGCUGGUUUUCCAGGCAAAUCCGGAAAAUCAAGGCUGAGGUGUGAUGACGAGGCACUACGGUGCUGAAGCAACAAAUGCCCUGCUUCCAGGAAAAGCCUCUAAGCAUCAGGUAACAUCAAAUCGUACCCCAAACCGACACAGGUGGUCAGGUAGAGAAUACCAAGGCGCUUGAGAGAACUCGGGUGAAGGAACUAGGCAAAAUGGUGCCGUAACUUCGGGAGAAGGCACGCUGAUAUGUAGGUGAAGUCCCUCGCGGAUGGAGCUGAAAUCAGUCGAAGAUACCAGCUGGCUGCAACUGUUUAUUAAAAACACAGCACUGUGCAAACACGAAAGUGGACGUAUACGGUGUGACGCCUGCCCGGUGCCGGAAGGUUAAUUGAUGGGGUUAGCCGCAAGGCGAAGCUCUUGAUCGAAGCCCCGGUAAACGGCGGUCGUAACUAUAACGGUCCUAAGGUAGCGAAAUUCCUUGUCGGGUAAGUUCCGACCUGCACGAAUGGCGUAAUGAUGGCCAGGCUGUCUCCACCCGAGACUCAGUGAAAUUGAACUCGCUGUGAAGAUGCAGUGUACCCGCGGCAAGACGGAAAGACCCCGUGAACCUUUACUAUAGCUUGACACUGAACAUUGAGCCUUGAUGUGUAGGAUAGGUGGGAGGCUUUGAAGUGUGGACGCCAGUCUGCAUGGAGCCGACCUUGAAAUACCACCCUUUAAUGUUUGAUGUUCUAACGUUGACCCGUAAUCCGGGUUGCGGACAGUGUCUGGUGGGUAGUUUGACUGGGGCGGUCUCCUCCUAAAGAGUAACGGAGGAGCACGAAGGUUGGCUAAUCCUGGUCGGACAUCAGGAGGUUAGUGCAAUGGCAUAAGCCAGCUUGACUGCGAGCGUGACGGCGCGAGCAGGUGCGAAAAGCAGGUCAUAGUGAUCCGGUGGUUCUGAAUGGAAGGGCCAUCGCUCAACGGAUAAAAGGUACUCCGGGGAUAACAGGCUGAUACCGCCCAAGAGUUCAUAUCGACGGCGGUGUUUGGCACCUCGAUGUCGGCUCAUCACAUCCUGGGGCUGAAGUAGGUCCCAAGGGUAUGGCUGUUCGCCAUUUAAAGUGGUACGCGAGCUGGGUUUAGAACGUCGUGAGACAGUUCGGUCCCUAUCUGCCGUGGGCGCUGGAGAACUGAGGGGCUGCUCCUAGUACGAGAGGACCGGAGUGGACGCAUCACUGGUGUUCGGGUUGUCAUGCCAAUGGCACUGCCCGGUAGCUAAAUGCGGAAGAGAUAAGUGCUGAAAGCAUCUAAGCACGAAACUUGCCCCGAGAUGAGUUCUCCCUGACCCUUUAAGGGUCCUGAAGGAACGUUGAAGACGACGACGUUGAUAGGCCGGGUGUGUAAGCGCAGCGAUGCGUUGAGCUAACCGGUACUAAUGAACCGUGAGGCUUAACCUU
rnacentral:rRNA from 1 species